UCCUUGAAGUUUAUUAUUUAAUGUUUAACUGUGGUCCACGAUGUAUAAAGUAAUAAUAUUGUUCUGUGUGCUAGUAUUGUGCCUCGGCUUCGCUCACGCCGCGCCGAUGGCCAUGAUUCCGGGUAUAUUUGGGUGCAACGACCAGUCUAGUCGAGUCUUCUACUUUGGAGCGUACAUCUGUAUGCAUCACAGAAUACCGGAGGAUGAGUACACGUACAUAAACUACGAUUACAAGUGAGACAACAAUAACAUCUGAACUUUGUGAACUGCCGAGAUACAACCACUGUUAUAGUUAAGUAAAUUAUAGUAACCUUAAUAAAUAUGUUUGAUAAAAUUGCA